rnacentral:rRNA from 1 species
GUGGGGAAUCUUCCGCAAUGGACGAAAGUCUGACGGAGCAACGCCGCGUGAGUGAAGAAGGUUUUCGGAUCGUAAAGCUCUUUCGUUAGGGACGAACGUGCUCUUUGUGAAUAAUGAGGAGUAAUGACGGUACCUGACGAGGAAGCCACGGCUAACUACGUGCCAGCAGCCGCGGUAAUACGUAGGUGGCAAGCGUUGUCCGGAAUUAUUGGGCGUAAAGCGCGCGCAGGCGGGAUAUCAAGUCUGUCUUAAAAGUGCGAGGCUCAACCUCGUGAGGGGACAGAAACUGGUAUUCUUGAGUGUCGGAGAGGAAAGUGGAAUUCCAAGUGUAGCGGUGAAAUGCGUAGAGAUUUGGAAGAACACCAGUGGCGAAGGCGACUUUCUGGACGAUGUCUGACGCUGAGGCGCGAAAGCUAGGGGAGCGAACGGGAUUAGAAACCCUGGUAGUCC